rnacentral:lncRNA from 10 species
CGCCUGCGGGCCCUGGCGCGUGCGCGGCGUCGGAGCAAGCGGCCCCUUCCUUCGGCCCCGCCCAGCCCCGCCGGCCGCCCGCUCCCUGGGGAACCGAGGGAGGAAUGGGCGGGGUCCUCAGGUGCCCGGCGACGUCAUCCAGCCCCCAAGGCUCCAGGACGCAAAGGGUCCCCUGAUCUGGCAGUCCCUGGACCUACCCUGGAGAGCGUGGGGGGACAAAGGCCGGACGCGCCGCCCGCUGCCGCCUCCAGGAAGCCCUCCCUUGCCAGGACAGUGGAGUUGGCCGGGUCCUUCCAAAGUGCCUACGGAAAGCUUUGUCCCAUCCUUGAAAAAUUGCUAAUGGGUUUGGAGAUACGAGGUGGAGAUGACUAGCAAUCAAACUCAAAGGUGGAAGUCACAUCGAGGCAGAUGAGCAGAUGAGGGGACCUAGAGAAGAAGAGAGGUGCAAGGAGAGCCCAGCCAGCAGGAACAUCUGCCCCAGUAGGCAGCACUGCCCCACAUCAGAGUCGAGGAAAGCAAAGCUCGGAUUGGAUAAAAGAAACUUGCAAACACGGUCAGUGCUUACUGCAUGUGGGCUCAGAGCACGUUACCCUCCUUCCCUGCAUGUUCCUGUGAAACGGGUUUACUGCUCUAACUCUCAGGGACACUGUGAAGACCAAACGAGAAAAUAGAAACAAACAUAAUUUAUAAACCAUAAAGUACUGACACCAAAAGAGGGGCGAGCACAGCAUUGUGAAUGUGCUGGUACUAAAUGGUUUGUUUUAAGAUGAUUUUAUGGUGUGUGAAUUUCACUUGAAUAAAUUUUUUUAAUGGAGUUCAUGGGGACGCUGCAGGAUGUCAAUUAACUUUGGACAUUUUAGCAGCGCUUUAGGUGUUAAAAUUAUUUUUUAAAAAAUACAGGAUGAAGGGAAAAGCUUCAUGACAUUGGAUUUGGCAGUGAUUCCUUGGAUAUGACCCCAAAAGCACAGAUAACGAAAGAAAAAAUAGUUAAAUUGUCUUCAUCAAAAUUAAAACUUUUGUACAUCAAAGAACUCUUUCAAAAGAGUGAAAAAGUCACAGAAUAAGAGAAAAUCAUAUACCUGAUAAAGAAUUAAUAUUCAGAGCCAGAUGCAGUGGCUCAUGCCUGUAAUCCCAGCACUUUGGGAGGCCAAGGCAGGCAGAUCACUUGAGAUCAGGAGUUCGAGACAAGCCUGGCUAAAAUGGUGAAACCCCAGCUCUACUAAAAAUACAAAAAUUAGCCAGGCGUGGUGGCGUGCACCUGGAAUCCCAGCUAUUCGGGAGGCUGAGGCAGGAGAAUCGCUUGAACUCAGAAGGCAGAGGUUGCAGUGAGCCAAGAUCACACCACUGCACUCCAGCCUGGGCGACAAAGUGAGACUCCAUCUCAAAAAAACAAAACAAAACAAAACAAAACAAAGAGUUACUAUUCAGAAUAUAUUAAGAAUUCCUACAACUCAACAACAAAAAAAAAUCCAACCCAAUUAAAAAAUGGGCAACAGACCCAAAUAGACAUUUCUUAGAAGACACACAAAUGGCCAAUAAGCUCAUGAAAACAUGUUUAACAUCACUAAUCAUUAGGGAAAUGCAAAUCAAAGCUAAAAUGAGAUACCACGUCACACUCAUUAGGUGUUAUUUUUUAAAAAUAACACAACAACAAAAAAUAAGAAAUGUGGGCGAGGAUGUGAAGAAAUUGAAACCCUUGUGGACUGUUGUUGGGGAUGUAAAAUGGCGCAGCUGCUGGGGAAAACAGUAUGGGAGUUCCUCACAAAACUAAACAGAAUUGCCAAACGACCCAGCGAUCCUGCCUCUGACAUAUACUGGAAAGAACUGAAAUAAGGCGCUGGAACAGACACUUGUAACCCAUGUUCACAGCUGAGCCAAAAGGUGGGAGUAACCCAAAUGUCCAUCAGUGGAUGAAUACUGGCAAUAAAAGCUGUGUCUGGAGGCCACUCCGUUUCACACAGCUCUCCACACGGGUGAGGGCACAGCCUUCUCGUCUCUUUCCUAUGCUGCAUCUUCAGAGCUAGCUAUGAUAUGAUAUGAUGUGAUAUGUACAUAUCGAAUAUACAUGUUUUACAUGCAAAUGCAACCAGUUUAUUGAGGGCUUGAUGGGGGAUAUGGGAGUUGCGGGGGAGAAUGGUCUUGU